AGCGAACGCUGGCGGUAGGCCUAACACAUGCAAGUCGAACGGCAGCACACUAAGAGCGUGCUCUGACGGGGGGCCAAUGGCGGACGGGUGAGGAAAACAUCGGAAUCUACUUUUUCGUGGGGGAUAACGAAAGGAAACUUAAGCUAAUACCGCAUACGACGUUCGGGUGAGAGCAGUGGAAAGUCUCACCGGGCGCGGUUGAAUGAGCCGAUGACGUAUUGGUUAGUGGGCGGGGUUAAGGCCCACGGAGUGGAGGAUCCGUAGCCGGUCGGAGAGGCUGGUCGCCCGCAUGGGAGGGGAGCCACGGUCAUGGCGCCUACGGGAGGCAGCAGUGGCGAAUAUUAGGCAAUGGGGGGAAGCAUGGUCCAGCCAUACCGCGUGGGUGAAGAAGGCCUUCGGGUUGUAAUGCCCUUUUGUUGGGAAAGAACAGCAGCAGCUUAAUACCCCGCUGUUCUGACGGUAACCAAAGAAUAAGCACCGGCUAACUUCGUG
rnacentral:rRNA from 1 species